rnacentral:rRNA from 2 species
UAAAACCAGCACCUCAAGUGGUCAGGAUGAUUAUUGGGCCUAAAGCAUCCGUAGCCGGCUCUGUAAGUUUUCGGUUAAAUCUGUACGCUUAACGUACAGGCUGCCGGGAAUACUGCAGAGCUAGGGAGUGGGAGAGGUAGACGGUACUCGGGAGGAAGUGGUAAAAUGCUUUGAUCUUUCGAUGACCACCUGUGGCGAAGGCGGUCUACCAGAACACGUCCGACGGUGAGGGAUGAAAGCUGGGGGAGCAAACCGGAUUAGAUACCCGGGUAGUCCCAGCUGUAAACUAUGCAAACUCAGUGAUGCAUUGACUUGUGGUCAAUGCAGUGUUGCAGGGAAGCCGUUAAGUUUGCCGCCUGGGAAGUACGUACGCAAGUAUG